CUUUUAUUUGAAAAAACUAAACCGAUAGACUUGCCCAGUCAAAUCAUACUGGAAACCGUGCCAAUUAAUGUUUUCCAUUUUCACAACCCUUCCGUUUCCAAUGACUAGAAAAGACCCCAUUUCUAAUUCAUUUCAUUGUCUUUUCCUCUCCAUUAAACCCUACUUCCAACCCCUGUUCAGUCAGGUUCUCUCAGCCAUUCUUCUUCCAUCCAUUGCAAAGAGACGCCAGGGACCGUUUCAUUUAGGUAUUCUUGUUCUUCCCUUCUUAAACUCUCCGUAGUGCCAAGCGAUUUGCUUCCUUUUUAAUGUGUCCGAAGUGAAUCCAUCGAAAAUGUUCUGCAGUAAGGUGAAUAUUUCAUAUAUAUGCGGCGAUUUCUAAUUUGUCUAUAACAUAACAUGAUUCUGGCAUUUUUUGGACUAUUGAAAGCGCGUCCCCUUCUAUUAUUGUUUCUGAUAAACCCAUCUCUAUUCCUGUUUGAAUCGCACAUAAACAUGCCAGGGCCUUUGCUGCAAAAGCAGAUCCAACAUUCUCAUGCAAUUUCGAUCUUGCAAUCAAGACCCGACCCUUUCCAUUCCUUGCUACUACUCCGAAUGCCACUCGAGAUCUUUGCUUGCCAAAUGCCCCCUCAAAAUUGAUCUUUAUGGUUGUACCAGAUGGGGGUACAGAGGUCGUUAUUUCAGCAUUUCUUUCUUUUAUUUCUCUCUGUCCAAAGGGCCCAAAGAGCGCAACAACUUAAAAUAUUGCAUGCAUUUGGAUUAAAGUUUCAAAGUUUCAAGAAGAGUAAUAUUUAUAUACCAAAUAUAUCAUAAAAAAUUGAGUAAAUUACAUCAAUAUUCAUUUAACUUUCUUGUAACUGACAAGACAGUCGCUCAAGAUUUAAUUUAGUUACUUAACAUUCAAAAAAUAAUAAAACAGUCACAAGGAGUUAUAUUUUUCUGUUAUUCACUUAA